AUUUUUUUUGAAGCUGGCUGAUAAUUCAAAGGAGCAUAAUUGCAUGCCUUAUGAACAUUAUACCGCAACAUUACUUGCACAAAAAGGCCUUGAAGGAGAACCCACAAAUAGGAGUUUAACUCACACUUCAUGGGUAUCUCAUCAAGCAAAGGUCGUGAAAGGCAAGGAUGGCAUCCUAUGACGGCCAAAUCUACAAAUUUGUUGUUGCUACUCCCAUUAUUCAUUCAAUGGUCUCAUUCACACUUGAUCACAAUAAGGUGGUUCAUGACGAGUGCCCACCUACCGAAUAAAAGAAGCAAACAAGAAACUACUAAGGGGAAGGGCGACUACAUGGGCAUGCAUUAGCGGCAGAAGAUUUCGUGAAUUAUUGAAUAAACCGGAAGCUUUAUGAACUCCUUUAAGUUUUUUUUCCUGUAAUGUAUGUUUUUAGACUUGGCAUACAAGUUUGUUCUUAAACACAUUCCGCAAACAAAGUUUCCUGUGCUAUGCACGCCUUAAAUUUUGUGUGGCUGGCUUAUGGUACAAGCUCUUAUGACGUUUUGUAUGGC